AUUGCUAUGGGGAAAGGUCUUGGCUCUUCAGGUGCCAGCUUUUGUCUUUUUGCGAGCUGAAGGGUUUUUCCCAAGGUGAGCACUGAAAUGCUUCAGUGAUCUUUAAAGAAGAGUUGUGCAGAUUCUGUGAGAUUUUGGGCUGCAGUAAAAGGAAAAUCUAACAAGCUGAAUGUCUUCUCUUUUUUUUAAGGAGAUAAGAAAAAGGCUACUGGAGCUGUCAGAGUUUAAGCUUCAACCUUUAUGUUUACAAAGCAAAAAGGGCAAUUAAAUGUGGAAAAAUAAAUCUUUCCAGACUCUGGCAGUGGUUCUUCGGGUUUGUACUCAGACUGCUGAAUGACAGGCUAGUUUAGCGCCUUAGGCAGGGACUCAGAAUAGAGCAGCCCUGACAUUUCUUUGAUGCUAAGUAGUGUACCCUAAUAAAGAUGUUCUUUAAAGCCAUUCCCCCUCGCCUGGCAAUCAGGUGUUACAGAGCAUCCCUGCUGCAACAGCACUGCCUGCUCCAUGCCUUCCUGCGCCUGGCGCUCUUCUUCCCUCCCUGCUGAAUGCAGCUGCUUCAGACCUCCUGUACACCUCUGCGCUGAACCUGGGGAAGAGACUGUUGGCAUAAACCCAGGAUAUAGUUAAUAGGCAAAUUCUGUGCUUUCACCCCCUGGCUAUUUCACAAAGCCUCGUUUCACAGAGGUGUUGAUGGGCAGAAGACAUCAUGGUCCUGCAAGCACAGAGUCACUAAACAAGCACAGGCCACCAUGUGGCAAGAACAUCUCCCAUACUUGGAACGAUCUGCAGCCCUCCAACCAUCUAGCAGAGCAGCUGAAAAAAGACCUCUUUUCUCAGCACACAGAGUAAGCUCCUCUGAGAUCUCUGCUCCUGCACCCUGCCACUGAUGAGCCCACGGGCACAUCAGCACAGCUCCCUGGUGCAGGGCAGGGCAUAGGCUGUAGACAGAAGCACCCUUGAUGGCAGCUGUGAGAUGCCAGCAGGGAAUGACUGCAUUCCUUCCUGUUCCCUUCCAUGAGCAUCCAGCUCUUCACACAUUUCUACUCUCUGCAAAGACUAAAAUGCAAAACGAGGGAUGAACAGAAGUGGGGAAAGGCACUGGGAAGCCCAUCUCCAAGUGUUAAGUGACAGCAGAUGGUAGAGGCGCUGCACUAUGACAGAUGAAGAAAUCAGACAUGUAGGUGUCAAAAGCAAUGUCAUUCUUAGCAGCCUGCCUUUGCUCACAGAGCUGCCAACCCCCGUCAGGCUUGCAUAUCCUGGGGACACAGCACGUCCUUGCACCUUCUUCCACAAAGCUGCAUGUACAGGCACAGGCACUGGCACAGGCACUGGCACUGCUACAGGCACUGGCACAGGCACUGGCACUGGCACAGCCUGCAAGGGCAGCUCCUCAGCUCCUUGGGAAGGAUGCACCAAUAUGGGGUCAGACGAUGUCCCUGCAGCACAGAUUUGCUCAGCAUUGCCUGAGUGCUACAUGUUCC
rnacentral:lncRNA from 1 species